UGCGUAGGCGGCUUUUUAAGUCGGAUGUGAAAUCCCCGAGCUUAACUUGGGAAUUGCAUUCGAUACUGGGAAGCUAGAGUAUGGGAGAGGAUGGUAGAAUUCCAGGUGUAGCGGUGAAAUGCGUAGAGAUCUGGAGGAAUACCGAUGGCGAAGGCAGCCAUCUGGCCUAAUACUGACGCUGAGGCGCGAAAGCCAGGGGAGCAAACGGGAUUAGAUACCCCAGUC
rnacentral:rRNA from 1 species